GCCCGGAUCUGCCCAGAGGAAACGGUCCAGUUUCUGCAGUCACAGCUGGGCGCUGACAAGGAGGCUGGACGCGUGGCAGCCCUGGGUCUGCUCGGUGCUCUGGCUCGCUCUGAUGAGCCCGUGAUGGCAAAGAAGCUGCCCCAGGUUGUGGAGGCUGUGCAGUGUCUGUGCAGCGACCCCAGGACCCAGGUGAGGAGGGCCAUUCUGCGCUUCAUCAAGGAUGUGCUCAGUGCUAACGCCCGGAGCUGCUCAGCCUGGGAUGUGGUGGGGCACAUCUUCAGUGAGUUCAGCCGCACCGCAGG